rnacentral:rRNA from 1 species
AGAAUCAACGCUGGCGGCGUGCCUAACACAUGCAAGUCGCACGAGAAAGGGGAGCAAUCCCUGAGUAAAGUGGCGCACGGGUGAGUAACACGUGAAUAAUCUACCUCCGAGUGGGGAAUAACUGAGAGAAAUCUUGGCUAAUACCGCAUAAUACCCACGGGUCAAAGCAGCAAUGCGCUUGGAGAGGAGUUCGCGGCAGAUUAGCUAGUUGGCGGGUAAUGGCCCACCAAGGCGAUGAUCUGUA